UACAGAGGGUGCGAGCGUUAAUCGGAAUUAUUGGGCGUAAAGAGCGUGUAGGCGGCCCGAUUAGUCCGCUGUGAAAGUCCAGGGCUCAACCCUGGAAUGCCGGUGGAUACUGUCGGGCUAGAGUCCGGAAGGGGCGAGUGGAAUUCCUGGUGUAGCGGUGAAAUGCGCAGAUAUCAGGAGGAACACCGGUGGCGAAGGCGGGUCUCUGGGCCGAUACUGACGCUGAGGAGCGAAAGCGUGGGGAGCGAACAGG
rnacentral:rRNA from 1 species